rnacentral:rRNA from 1 species
GAUGAACGCUGGCGGCGUGCCUAAUACAUGCAAGUCGAGCGAACAGACGAGGAGCUUGCUCCUCUGAUGUUAGCGGCGGACGGGUGAGUAACACGUGGAUAACCUACCUAUAAGACUGGGAUAACUUCGGGAAACCGGAGCUAAUACCGGAUAACAUGUUGAACCGCAUGGUUCAACAGUGAAAGACGGUCUUGCUGUCACUUAUAGCUGGAUCCGCGCCGCAUUAGCUAGUUGGUAAGGUAACGGCUUACCAAGGCAACGAUGCGUAGCCGACCUGAGAGAGUGAUCGGCCGCACUGGAGCUUGGACACGGUCCAGACUCCUACGGGAGGCAGCAGUAGGGAAUCUUCCGCAAUGGGCGAAAGCCUGACGGAGCAACGCCGCGUGAGUUAAGAAGGUCUUCGGAUCGUAAAACUCUGUUAUUAGUGAAGAACAAAUGUGUAAGUAACUAUGCACGUCUUGACGGUACCUAAUCAGAAAGCCACGGCUAACUACGUG